rnacentral:rRNA from 1 species
GGAGGGGUGCAAGCGUUAAUCGGAAUUACUGGGCGUAAAGCGCACGCAGGCGGUCUGUCAAGUCGGGAUGUGAAAUCCCCGGGCUCAACCUGGGAACUGCAUCCGAAACUGGCAGGCUAGAGUCUUGUAGAGGGGGGUAGAAUUCCAGGUGUAGCGGUGAAAUGCGUAGAGAUCUGGAGGAAUACCGGUGGCGAAGGCGGCUCCCUGGACAAAGACUGACGCUCAGGUGCGAAAGCGUGGGGAGCAAACAGGAUUAGAUACCCUGGUAGUCCACGCCGUAAACGAUGUCGACUUGGAGGUUGUGCCCUUGAGGCGUGGCUUCCGGAGCUAACGCGUUAAGUCGACCGCCUGGGGAGUACGGCCGCUAGGUUA